CUGCGCUCGAUUAAAUAGAUUAAUUGAGAUUAAAUAACGUGCAGUUUCUUAUGUGUUUUAUCUUUCAAAGCACGUUGUUGCGGAGUGCCUGAGCUUUUUCCUCGCGUUACUGAGGAAAAGAAUGGCUGUGCAUCUUCCCCCCUCAUCCCUCUCUUUUUCUUUUUUCCCUCCUCCCUCGAUGACAGGGACUCAAAAUGCUUAACCAGAUGUCCGUGUGAAAAUUAAAAACAAUGCUGAUGGUGAACACUGACAGGAUUGGGUGACAUUUUCAAGGUAGAGGGCAAAGAACGUGGAAAUUUCUAGUAUUUACUGUUACUCUGUUAACAAAACUGAUGUACACGCCGCUUGCUGUUUCUAGUUUUUAGGUUUGGCUUUCCUUUCAGUAGUCUCCCCAAAGGCUUUUGUGGGCACGAUGUGUAUCUUUCCUGACAAAUGAAUUGUGGAAAAACAGAAAAGACGACCAUGGAAUCUGAGGGCUGUGGACAACCAUCUACCAGAUGGUUGUUGCGGACGCCUUCGGUCAUGUUAUUUGUUCUUUUAGCUCGCCCUUUCCUUUAUCUUGAGUUGAUUAUUAUUUUUUUUUGCAGCGCUGUGUUUGCAGUGAUAACAUUGCUGCCGAGGUGUAUUUGACUAAAAAUGAUCUUAACUGUAGGUACUGAAUUCACAGUGUGGCUUUGUGUAAUGACUCCCAUGAUCACAACUUUUUUUUUUCCUUUGUCACAGAUAGGAGAAAAGCUCUUUUCAGAGAGAUGGAGAAGGAAUUUAUACCUUUGCCUCAUCCCGUGAGACCAGAAGACAUGGAGUAACUAAUUGUAAGCUGCGAUUCUCAGGAGUCGCAAGGCUAAGAGUCUCAGGUUCCUGCUCUGCCUUCCCUGCAAGGCCUUAGCCUUAAAUAAACCUUAGGAGGAACCGGUCCAAGGAAAGAGCGCCUUCUGGAACUGUCGAGCCUUCAUUUGGCAGCUCGGUGACUGGCUUGGUCUACUCGUGAGGUGCUAAGGGAAGAUGUCUGCUGUUCCAAAACGAUACCAAUAAAAACUGGGGUCCCUUGUGUCGUUGAGGGGUGGGUGCUAA